rnacentral:rRNA from 1 species
GACGAAGGUGGCUAGCGUUGCUCGGAUUUACUGGGCAUAAAGCGCGCGUAGGUGGUCGUGUAAGCGGGGGAUGAAAGCCCAUGGCUCACCCAUGGAACUGUCCCCCGGACUGCACGGCUCGAGGAAGGAAGGGGAGAAUGGAAUUCCAGGUGUAGCGGUGAAAUGCGUAGAUAUCUGGAGGAACACCGGUGGCGAAGGCGGCAUCCUGGACCAAUAUUGACGCUGAGGAGCGAAAGCCAGGGGAGCAAACGGG